AUUCACUUUAUGAUUUUCUAUGAAAUCAUUAGGUCUGCCUUGAAUCACUGACUCAUUUUGUGCUAUCAAGAUGUAAACUCUCCAGCAACAGCAUCCUCCUAUGUGAGUAAGCGAGAUUUAAUUUUCCUGUGACAGCACAUGUGUACAAAGGCAGGUGCAGCUGAGGAGAAUCAUCCGCCCUCCAGAUAUGAAAAGUAAGCCCCAAGCCUCGAUGAAUAAAUAGGUUCUGGAGCCUACGCCUCCUAUCUUGCCGCUCAAGCAGUGACACAAUGG
rnacentral:lncRNA from 1 species